UGAGAACACAGGUCCAGAGGUGAGAA
rnacentral:piRNA from 1 species